rnacentral:rRNA from 1 species
GAUGAACGCUGGCGGCGUGCCUAAUACAUGCAAGUCGAGCGAGCAGACGAGGAGCUUGCUCCUCUGACGUUAGCGGCGGACGGGUGAGUAGCACGUGGAUAACCUACCUAUAAGACUGGGAUAACUUCAGGAAACCGGAGCUAAUACCGGAUAAUAUAUUGAACCGCAUGGUUCAAUAGUGAAAGACGGUUUUGCUGUCACUUAUAGAUGGAUCCGCGCCGCAUUAGCUAGUUGGUAAGGUAACGGCUUACCAAGGCAACGAUGCGUAGCCGACCUGAGAGGGUGAUCGGCCACACUGGAACUGAGACACGGUCCAGACUCCUACGGGAGGCAGCAGUAGGGAAUCUUCCGCAAUGGGCGAAAGCCUGACGGAGCAACGCCGCGUGAGUGAUGAAGGUCUUCGGAUCGUAAAACUCUGUUAUUAGGGAAGAACAAAUGUGUAAGUAACUAUGCACGUCUUGACGGUACCUAAGCAGAAAGCCACGGCUAACUACGU